rnacentral:lncRNA from 1 species
GGAGUGUGGAAAUUUGGCAGCAAAUUGUCAUAUUUUCACGACCUUAAGAAAGUGGAGGCUUGGCUUACUAAUUGCUAUUGCUCUUUCUCCUCCCUAUUUCCAGGAAACUUCACAACCCCCCCCCCCCCCCCACUUUUUUGCCCUUUUCCCAUUUUUCACCUCUUCUUGGUGUGAGUCUUGAUUAAAUUAUUUGAAUCUAAGUGUUCCUUUCAUUUUCUUACCCCAAAAAAAGGCUUCGUCUUUGAGAAAUUUCAGGCAAAGGGGUACAAGAAUUUAUUGGAAUUGCUAAGGAUUUAAUCAUUUAGUAGGUCUGACAUAAUACAAUGGAUUCAUAAUCUUGGACUCCCUUCUUCAAGGCGUUACCAAUCUCGAUCAGAUGCUAAGAUUUAAAGUGGGAUAAUAUAGAUUGGCUUGCUAAGUAUGGAUGGAAUUCUUAAACAAGAUUUCACAUGCAUCCUUUACAAAGUGAGAUGAUCUACAGCGUGAUUUUGAUUCAACAAAGUUUCAUACAAAGUUAUACUGCGGAAUUGCAAUAAGAUUUGUAAUUUUAAGAGAGUACGGUGCAAUCUUUCUCAAGAACAUCAUACGAAGUUUUCCCUACUUUGAUCCGCCGUUACGCAUUGUCGCAAUCAAUGAUGUUGAAGGGAUUGUCAAGAGAAUUGGUUCAGGUAUGUUAAGGCUAUCCCUUCUUUCAUUUUGGCGCGAUCUAUACGAUACAAACGAAAUGAGUAAAUGCACAACUUUCAUAAAUGACUCUAUUCAUAGAAGUAUUAGAGGUGCUUAUGUUCUUGAAUUCUCAUGUGUCUCAUUAUUACAUUUUCUGUUCAUUGGUCUCAGAAAAUACGUAAGUUAAAAAAAGUUUAUUUCACGAUAUUAAUCAAAGGCAUAAUGGUCUUAUGAUGUUCCGAAAGGUUUUAUUGGUGUAUUUCUCAUGUAUUGCAUUCAUUUAUAUAUGUACAUUGACCCAUGACCAAGUUGGCGUUAUAUGCGCGUAUAUAUGUAUAUGGAAUAUGGGAAAAGGUUAUGGCAUUAUAUACGCAUCACCACCUGAUCAGCUGGUAUACGUUGAUGAUUUGCCCACAGUGGCCGAGAUGAUAUGAUGGGAUGCCCUCAGAGGCUUGAUGAUAUUAUGAACGCAUAUACCUAUACAUGAUAUGACAGUUAUAUGCAUAUGCAUGACAUUAUAAUAUUAAAUGAUCCACAGAGCUAUUCAGAUAUACAUGUUUAGUCUUUUACUCUAUAUUUCUCUCAUGUCUAUUGUUUACUGAUUUUUAUUCCUUACAUACUCGGUACAUUAUUUGUACUGACAUCCCUUUUGCCUGGGGACACUGCGUUUCAUGCCUGCAGGUCAUGAUAGACAGCUUAAGAGUCCUCCAAGUAGGCUAUUAGCUCAGCGGAAUGUAUUGGUGCACUCCAUUUGCUCUGGAGUUGCUUAUGUGGUCAAUAUGAUUAGGACAUGUACUGAUUAGUAUGGUGGGGCCCUAUCCCGAUCUUUACGACAUUGAUGUACUCUUAGAGACUUGUAUACAUAUAUCGUGCAUGUG